rnacentral:lncRNA from 1 species
GAGUGUUGGCGCAAGUUGAAGAUUCUCCUACAAAAAUGGCUUAAGCCAUCUUUCACAAAAGUUGUUAAAGCAAUUUGAGGGGGAGUGUUAAUUAGGUUCAUUGAACAAUUUAGCUCAUUAAGUCUUAUACAUAGGUCCAUUGACUUUUCUAUGUUAUGUUCAUUGUAUGAAGAGUAAAUGAUGUGCAUUUGUAUUUCCUAUAUAUUUGUACAUUUGAGGAUGAAUGAAAUUAAGAAAGAAUUAAACACAAAAUUAGCAGUAUUAAUGUAGGAUGUUCCAAUUUUAGAAUAUUGCAAACCUUGUCCACCAUUGACACCAUUGAUGUUGUAUGUGCCUAUGUACUCCUAAGCAUUGGAGAGUUAGCCAAGAUUGUUUGUUAUAUGUGCAUUUGCUCCGGAGUCCAGGAGCCAGCUUGUGGGUGCAAUGGUUGCUUGGGUUACUGUCACGCCCCGGAUCCGGGGUCAAUAGAAAAAAUCUCGAACCCAUAUCCGGCGCACAAGCUAAAAAUAAAAUUAAAUAAAAGGAAAGUGAAACUGGGUGGAAAAAUAUGAAAUUCCUCUUUUAACAAGAAAUCGAUAAUUCUUUACAAGAUUAAAAUAGAUAAAUACAAAAUUCUAUCCUCACACUUAAUCCGAUCUCAUCCCAUCUACCAUUUUUGAUUGUUUAGUUCUUAAACCUGCAUAACAAUAGAGGGGUGAGCUUUAACAACUCAGUAGGAACAUAACCUUAUCACAGUAAAUUGACAAUAUUAAAUUAAGUGUCAGGAAAACAUAAAGCCAAAUAUCAAAUCAUUAUUGAUAUUAAUGCAUGAGUGCAAUAUAACCUCUUCAGCUACCCCCGUUAAUUCAUAUAAUAAAACACACGGACCUGCACGUCCCAUACCAUGCAUUUUACCUCUGCAGAGGUGGUUCGAAUGUUCUAUUAUAGAAACUAAUCCCCAUAUGAUAUCCCAAGUUCAUAAACCCCUUUUGCUAGUCAUCUUAUCUAAUUCAUUGAUCUCCAGCCCAAAUCACGCACAUCGACAAUUCCCGUCGAUAUCCUAUUCUAUUGUGCACAUCGGGCUCGCCUGGAACUGGUUUCACAAUGAAUAUAUUCAACUACACAAAAGAUCAUUUCCAACUACCCUCAUUUCCAUACUUCCAAUCUGAACAUUGAAAUUCCAACCACAUCAAUAUGAAUGAUGCACAAAUGAUGUCAUUUUAUAUUUCACAUAUUUCACUGUAUAUUCUCAACGAAUGGCAUUCCAACAAUAAUUUCAUAACCAAUAACAAGUAAACACUUAACUGAAGCAAUUAGCCAAUUAAACUCAAUCAUAUAAAUCAACCAAAAAGAUCAAGAAUAUUAUAGCACUUCACGAAAUUUAAUAAAUUAAUUUCUGUAAAGGCCUGCCUUAUUUCCCCUACCUGGAUUCCAAAGCUAAAACGAAGAUUCGUGUCACUACUGGAAUAGCUAAGCUCCACAUACUUAUCCACAUCACUACCCAAAUAUCUAAACUCCACGUACUUGAGCAAGCUCCUUGAUCACUCCUAAUGCCAUGAAUUUCUUCAACUACCUUUCUUUUCUAAUCCAUCUCUACACGUACAUACACACACACACACACACACACAUAUAUAAUCUAAGUAAAGUAAACAUGCACAAGCAUGCAGCCUUUCGCAUGUUGUAAAAGAAUUGAGGGGAAAGCUCCUAUUUAUACUAGGAGAAGUCGGCAACUUAAAAGCAUAACACUGGUGGGUGUGGCGGCAACCAAGAUAAGAAUGGUUCGAAGGGUGUCUAAUCCUCAUGCAUGCAAGACAGCUCCUGCUACGAGCUAUAGAUAGUCAGCAACAAUAGAGUGCUCGUGGAGCACCUGGGACCUCUAAAC